GCGGAAGUAGCUCAAUGGCAGAGCAUUGCCCUGCCAAGGCAAAGGUUGAGGGUUCGAUCCCCUUUUUCCGCU
rfam:Amborella trichopoda AMTR_V1.0_contig_35799, whole genome shotgun sequence.